rnacentral:lncRNA from 1 species
GAUCAGUUCACAAUUGUAUAUCAUUUUGUACCCUUCUAGCUUAUGAUUUGGUUAUGUUAUUGAGUCAAACGUGUGCUUUUAAUCCCUUUUCUGUUUAUCAUUCAGUUCAUUGGGCCUUAGGUAGCAAUGGUGUCUUUGGAUAAGAAAAGAUGCAAAAUGGUGCAAAAACGAGCAGACUGGGUUAGCAACUCAUUCGGCCUUACCAUCUUUCUCCGAACUUGGAUUGGCCCAAAUAAUAUGUAGUUGGAAAGAUGAGAGUCUGAACUUCAAGAUGGACUACUCAAAUGCAUCAGAUUAUGAAGUUGAGCCCAAUUUGUGAGCCCAUAUACACACCAGGCUCAGGAUUGCAGUUUCCAGUUGUUAAGCCUUGGAUACUUUCUUUGAGCCAUGUGACUCACCACAGCUUUCCUUGACUUUAGACCUGACAUGUUGAGCAAUUAAGGGAGGUCUGUCAGCUACUCAAGUGCAGAGGAGAGCCAUGUGACUCACCACAGCUUUCCUUGACUUUAGACCUGACAUGUUGAGCAAUUAAGGGAGGAGUGUCAGCUACUCAAGUGCAAAGGAGCCUUGACUUUAGACCAGACAUGUUGAGAAAUUUAGGGAGCAAUUUAGGGAGGUGUGUCAGCUACUCAAAGGCAAAGGAUUCACUCAAUUGACCAAUAAUUCACUCCAGCCGUCUUAUAUCACUCCAUUCAGCCCAAAAUCGGAGGGGGGGGGGGGAACAACUCCAACAAGCCUUCCUUCCAUUUCCUACGAAUUUGUUCUUUCUCUGCCAUCACCAACCACCCAAACUCAUCCCAAAUCACCUCUUUAGUUGCCAUACUCUAGACAUGAGAAAGUUCUUGGAGUAGCAUUAGACGUGGAGAAGCACCUGGAGAAGCCUUGGAAACCACAAGCAACUUCAGAAUUGGGUUUCUCUACUCUUAUUGCAUUCAAUAUGUUUUCUCAUUUUUGCUUAAGUUUCAUUUCCAUUAUGAGUAGCUAAAUUCAUAACUAGGGCUAUGAUGUAACCUAACAUGAAUAUUCUGGGUUUAUAAGUUGAAGUUUUGAGUUUCAAGUUUGAUUCAUGAUUCAUAUUCCUAUUCUUUAUGCUUAUCAGUUAAUAUGCUUGUUUGGAUGAUUGAUCACCAUUAGAACUUGUAUAUUAGCUACCUUGGUUUGAAUCAAGAGUAGACACCAUGCUUUGAUUUGAAUUGAACUAUGAAUAAGAAAAGUAUGUAUGGACAUUCGACAACAGGGAUUAGAUACAUGCUUGGUUGUUUAAAUUGUUCUUCUAUGCUUAAUGGGUUCCUAAUGCUUAAUUUAGAUUAGACAACAAAUGAUCAAGUUAGGGAAUUAGGAGCACAAGGUUAGGACCAGACACCAUGGCCUAAUCAUACUUUAGCUAGAAUCAAUCUUUGAAUCCGAAUGAGACUUGUCACUUGACUCCUUAUAACCCAGAAUGGAAUUGUUAUGGUGAAUCGAAUGCCCUAGUCUCCCAAUCUGUUUUCCAGCCUACAAAAGUACUCUUUGUUACAUUUGUUCACUUUGCUUUUGUUUGAAAUUUCGUUUUGCCUCUUUUGUUCAACAAUUACAAUCACUCUUGCUUUAAAUUCUAUUUUAGACUUAACCUCCUACUUUCUUGAAUUUGGUAAUCUAAGUACAUAACUAAUUUUAACUUCUCAGUCCUCGUGGGUACGACCUCGUACUUGUCUUGCUAUACUACUAAUUGGCCCGUACAAUUGCGAGUUAACAUUUUAACAACAAAUUUUGGCGCCGUUGCCGGGGACUGAAUGAAAGUUCUUCCCUGGUUAUGUGCCCAAGGUUACCCUAUUCUUUUAGAAGUACUAACUAACUCAAAUUAUUUUCUGUUUCAGGUAGUUUAUGUCUAGUAAUCCUUUCCUUGAACAAGUGAGGUCUUCAUUCCAACGUUCGAGAUCUUUGAACGCAGGGCCAUCUUUGCAACCAAACCGGGUGAUCUCUGAAAUUCAGAAUCGUCUAGAAAGAGAGUUAGCAACUGCAAAAGAGCAAGCCAUUGCCACAUUUGAAGGUCUUGCUAUCCACACUAACCUCCCAGGGUCUUCACCUUCAAAUUCGGAAUCAAGUUCAGACCAAGAAGAAGAAGAGAUGGCUGCCAAUGAGUUAAUGGGAGACCUUGAUAUCCCAACAAUUCCAGCAUCCCCUUCAAGCAUCUUGCUGCCCACCGCAGCUCGAAACUAUGAGCUUAAAUCUUCUCAUCUUAAUAUGCUCCCUUCUUUUUAUGGUUUACCUAAUGAAGAUCCAUUAACUCAUAUAAAGGAUAUUUUUAAUGUUGUGAGCUCUUUUCCCUUGACAGGUGUGACGGAAGAGCAACUUCGAAUGAGAGUGUUUUCUUACACUUUGAAAGAUAAGGCGAAAUAUUGGUUGAAUUCUUUGAAGCCUGGUUCACUCCUGACUUGGGGAGCCAUUCAAAAGAAGUUCUUGGAGAAAUAUUUCUCCACGCAAAAAAUCGACAUGCUUAGGGACAAGAUCCUUCUAUUUGCACAACAAGAUGAUGAGUCGUUUUGUGAAGCAUGGGAGAGAUUCAACGGGCUGCUCAAUCAAUGUCCUCAUCAUGGGAUUCCAUUGAAGCUUCAGAUGCGUAUGUUUUAUAAAGGACUAACCCCCUCUAGCCAUAAUAUUGUCACUAAUUUUGCAGGUGGUUCUUAUAAGACUAAAACUCCAGAAGAAACAUAUGAACUCUUUAAGGAGAUAGCAAUGGAGACCCAACACACCGAUACAAGAGGUAAACGUAUUGCUGGUGGUUCUAAUGAUUCUUCCAGUAUGCAGAUUUCCAAAUUGGAACAAAAGCUAGAUGCCCUCCUUGCAUUGAACUCAAGAAACCCUUUGAAGGAAGUGUGUAGCAUCUGUGAAACUCAUGAUCAUCCUACCAUUUCUUGUCCCUUUGGGGCUGCAUAUCCAGAAUUUGUGCAAGAGCAAGCUAAGUUGGUGAAUUCCUACAACUGAGGUCCAAUAAAUGACCCAUAUUCUCAAAGUUAUAAUCCAGGUUGGAGGAAUCAUCCAAACUUUUCAUGGAGGAAUACACAGAAUCAAGCGAAUCCCCCUUCACUCCAAAGGCCACAACAAUCAUCAUCGUUGGAGGAUUUAGUGAAGCAAAUGGCAAUCAACCAAAACAAUUUCCAGCAAACAACACAAGCUGCCAUCUCCAAGUUGGAAGUCCAAUUGGGCCAGAUAGCAACUGAAAUAGCUCAAAGAGAACCUGGGAAAUGGCCAAGUCAAACCGUGAUCAAUCCAAAAAACCAAGAAGCCAAGGCCGUUCAUGUGCUCAGAUCAGGUAAGAUUGUUGAUAACAAAGUUGGUUCUGAUCUAUCAAAUGAUGUUGUGGUUGUAGAGGAUGAAGAUGAAGAGGAAACCACAGCUAUGGAAGGAGAACAACCCAAAACGUGCCAAUCUGCUCCUAAGGCCAAAUCUGAUUCUCAGGAACCCAAUCCAUUUCAAUUGCAUAAAAGAGAUGACAAAUUUGUGCCAUCACAUCUUCAUCAAGAUAGAUACAUCCCACCUCCUCCAUAUAUUCCACCGAUUCCAUUUCCAGGCCGUUUGAAGAAAGCAAAUCAAGAUAAGGCUUUUAAAGAGAUUUAUGAUAUUUUGAGUAAAGUUAAUAUCAAUUUGCCCUUGCUUGAUGUUGUUAAACAGAUUCCUGCAUAUGGAAAGUUCAUCAAGCACUUGAUGACUCACAAGCUCAAUUUUACUCCAAGUGAAGAAGUAAAGCUCAACAAGAAUGUGAGUGCUGUGUUGCAAAGGAAGCUUCCACCAAAACUAGAAGAUCCUGGCAGCUUUAACAUUCCCAUUAACAUCGGAGAUAAGACGGUUGGAAGAGCCAUGUUGGACUUGGGAGCAAGCAUCAAUGUAAUGCCAUAUUCAGUUUAUCAGGCGCUUGGCUUAGAAGGGAUAAAGAAAACCUCAAUUCGUCUUGAACUAGCUGAUCAUUCUAUCAAAUAUCCAAAAGGUAUUGUAGAAGAUAUUUUAGUUCAAGUUAAUACACUCAUUCUUCCGGCUGAUUUUGUAGUGAUGGAUAUGGAGGAUAACCCAUAUGAAGACCGUGUUGAUCCCAUUCUCCUCGGGCGACCAUUCAUGGCCACUGCAGACACAAUCAUCAAAGUGAAAGAUGGCACCCUCUCCAUGACUGUUUUGGGUGAAACUGUUGAAUUUAAAGUGUUUGAUGCUCUGUCUCAACCUUCUAUUACUCUUGAUACUUGUUUUUCAAUUGAUGUUGUGGAUCAUGAGGUUUCUUCUAAAAUUGUGCAGAAAAAGUCUAAUGAUGCUUUGGAAGCGGUCCUAACAUAAGAAGAGGAAGAUCUCUUUGAAUCAGAGUUCCAAGAAGUGAUGGCUGCCUUAGAAGUGUUUCAGCCAUACCCACCAUCCUUUGGGCCACCACUUGAGCCUCUUGUAUCAUCCUCCACAAAAUUGGAGCCAUCCAUUAUCACCCCACCAAAGCUAGAACUUAAACCUCUACCCAAUCAUCUUAAAUAUACUUAUUUGGGUGCUAAUGAAACUCUCCCUGUUAUAAUUGCUGCAAGUCUCACUUCACAUGAAGAGGAUAGCUUAAUUGAAGUUCUGAAAGAACAUAAAACAGCCCUUGGAUGGACCAUAGCAGACAUCAAAGGAAUUAGUCCAAGCAUGUGCAUGCACCGAAUUUUAAUGGAAGAAGACAGCAAACCAUCUCGUGAUGCACAAAGGAGGCUAAAUCCCAAUAUGAAAGAGGUGGUUAGGGCUGAAGUUUUGAAGCUACUUGAUGUGGGAAUCAUCUACCCAAUUUCAGAUUCUAAGUGGGUGAGUCCUGUGCAAGUGGUUCCAAAGAAGUCCGGAAUCACCGUUGUAAAGAAUGAGAAGAAUGAGCUAGUUCCAACACGCACUAUCACUGGUUGGAGAGUUUGCAUUGAUUACAGGAAGUUGAACACAUCCACGAGAAAAGAUCAUUUUCCCUUGCCUUUUAUUGAUCAAAUGCUUGACCGUUUAUCUGGCCAUGCUUACUACUGUUUUCUUGAUGGAUUUUCAGGUUAUAAUCAAAUUCCCAUUGCUCCGGAAGACCAGGAGAAAACCACGUUCACAUGCCCAUUUGGUACAUUUGCUUAUAGAAGGAUGCCAUUUGGUUUGUGCAAUGCUCCAGCAACUUUCCAAAGAUGCAUGAUGGCAAUCUUUUCUGAUAUGGUGGAACGAUUCAUGGAGGUAUUUAUGGAUGAUUUUUCAGUUUUUGGUUCAUCUUUUGAUGAUUGUCUUCACCACUUGUCUCUAGUGCUUACAAGAUGUCAGGAAACAAAUCUGAUUUUGAAUUGGGAGAAGUGUCACUUCAUGGUAAGACAAGGAAUUGUGCUAGGCCAUGUUGUUUCAAACAAGGGAAUUCAAGUGGACAAAGCCAAGAUAAAUAUCAUCACAAAUCUACCACCCCCUUCCUCUGUUAAAGGAGUUAGAAGCUUUCUGGGCCAUGCCGGAUUCUAUAGAAGGUUCAUAAAAAAAUUUUCAAGCAUUUCAAGACCAUUGUGUAAUCUCCUUGCUAAGGAUGCUGUUUUUGAGGUUGACGAGAUUUGCAUGGAAGCCUUUACGACUUUGAAGAAAGAACUAACUUCAGCCCCUAUUAUCAUAGCUCCAGAUUGGUCUUUACCAUUUGAAAUAAUGUGUGAUGCCUCUGACUUUGCUAUUGGUGCAGUUUUAGGUCGAAAGAAGAACAAGCUUCCCCAUGUGAUUCAUUAUGCGAGCCGGACCUUGAAUGAUGCCCAACUCAAUUACUCCACAACCGAAAAGGAGUUGCUUGCUGUGGUUUUUGCUUUAGAAAAAUUUUGCCCUUACCUUGUUGGUUCUAAAGUAAUUGUUUAUUCUGACCAUGCUGCUCUUAGAUACUUGCUCACUAAGAAGGACGCCAAACCUCGCUUGAUCAGAUGGAUUCUCUUGCUGCAAGAGUUCGAUUUGGAGAUUCGAGACAAGAAGGGAUGUGAAAAUGUGGUGGCUGACCAUUUGAGCAGAAUUGUGGUUGAAGAGCAAGGAGAAGCUGUACUACCAUUGAAUGAGACUUUCCCAGAUGAACAACUAUAUGUUGCCCAAGUCAAAGAGCCAUGGUAUGCUGAUUUUGUUAAUUAUCUUGCUUGUGGUGUUCUUAGAAAUGAUCUAACUUAUCAGGACAAAAAGAAGUUCUUUUCCAUGGUGAAACAUUAUGUCUGGGAUGAACCUUUCUUAUUCAAGCAUUGCCCAGAUCAACUCAUUAGAAGAUGUGUUCCAGAAGAAUAACAAGAAAGCAUCCUUAGGCAUAGCCACGAAUUGGCUUGUGGAGGCCACUUUGGAGCCAAGAAAACAGCACUUAAAAUUUUGCAAUCAGGUUUCUUUUGGCCUACUCUAUUCAAAGAUGCAUUUAAUUUUUGUGUUAAGUGUGAUAGGUGUCAAAGGAUGGGAAACAUAAGCCGCAGGGACGAACUGCCAUUGAAGAACAUACUCUUUGUGGAACUCUUCGAUGUAUGGGGUAUUGAUUUCAUGGGACCAUUCCCAUCUUCCUUUGGUUAUACCUACAUACUUGUUGCUGUUGAUUAUGUGUCUAAAUGGGUGGAAGCCAUAGCCACCAAAACCAAUGAUCAUAAGGUGGUCCUGAAGUUCUUGAGGGACAAUAUUUUCACAAGGUUUGGUACUCCAAGGGCUGUCAUUAGUGAUGGAGGCAGCCAUUUCUGCAACAAGCUAUUUGAAGCACUCAUGAAGAAGUACAAUAUCACCCACCGAGUCUCUACACCAUAUCAUCCUCAAACUUCUGGUCAAGUAGAAAUAAGCAACAGAGAAAUUAAGCAGAUCCUAGAGAAGGUGGUGAAUAGUACAAGGAAAGAUUGGGCUGCCAAGCUCAAUGAUGCAUUAUGGGCUUAUAGGACUGCAUAUAAGACUCCCAUCGGAAUGAGCCCUUAUCGUCUUGUGUUUGGGAAAGCCUGUCACUUGCCAAUGGAGCUUGAACACAAUGCUUUUUGGGCCAUCAAGAAGAUGAAUUUUGAUCUGGACAAGGCCGGCCAUGUUAGAAAGUUUCAGCUCAAUGAAUUGGAAGAAAUUCGACAUGAGUCCUAUGAGAAUGCAAAGCUAUACAAAGAACGUACCAAGAGUUACCAUGACAGGAACAUUCAACGGAAAGAAUUCCCCAAAGGUAUGUCAGUUCUUUUGUUUAACUCACGUUUGCGUCUCUUUCCAGGAAAAUUGAAGUCUAGGUGGCUUGGCCCAUUCACCGUGGUCAAUGUAUCUCCCUAUGGAGCUGUGGAGAUUCAAAAUCCUAAAGAUGGCUCGACUUUCAAAGUAAAUGGACAACGUUUAAAGCCAUUCUAUGAGGGAGUGUCAGUUGGAAUUCAAACUGGUCAUGUGGUGGAUCAUCUUCCCUUCGUACAAUCAAGUUAGUUAAGGGCAUAAUGUCUUGCCAAGACAUUAACUAAGGCGCUUCUUGGGAGGCAACCCAUGUGUUGAAGAAUAAGGUGCUUGGUAGCGGUCGACCUAAUCGCAUCAAGAGGGAGUUUCUCUAAUACUUUGUCUUAAACUUUUCCCUUAUUAUUCACAUGUUCUCACUCAUCUUUGUUAUGCUUUAACAUUGAGGACAAUGUUCAAUUCAGGUCUGGGGGGGAGGUUUUCAAUUUUUGUUCAUUUGUGUUUACAAUUUUCGUUCGCUUGUCACUAUUUUUUUUUUAUUUUAAAAAACUUUCAUACAACCAAUGCUAUGGAGCUGCCAUUGAGAUUUUCAUAUCAGAAAUUUUACACUUCACAAAGCUUUUGCUCUUAGAAUUCUGGUGGCUAAAGUACCAUGCUCAGAUUCUUGAAGGAGAAUAGUGGAGACUACCCUAGUGAGCUAUUUCGAGCCUAAUUGCUUUCUUGAGAGGGUUUAAAGUGUUUCUAUUCCUCAUCUCUACUUAUUUUCUUCAAUUCACUCUAAAUGAUCUCAUUGUUCCAUUUUGAUUGAAUACUAAGGAUGAUUCUCUUUGCAGAUAUCAGGUGCGUGCUCUCACCCAUGAAUGAACUCAUUGAAGUGAUGCUAGGCUCUGCGUGUAUAACCAUUUUCUGUGCUUUCUUUUCACCCUACCCAUUCGUGUGUUCCAUCAGCUCUCUUGCAGCCAAACACUACAAGCCUUUUUCUUCUAUCACCCUCAUAAUUCCCCUAACUUUGUAUCUCAAUCAGAGAUAUUUAACCUAUUGUAGCCAUACCCUAUAGCUUAGAAAUAUACCAAGGUGUGCGAAGAAAAAGUUUGAAGCAAGGAGGUUGCUGCCACAUGCCCAAAUGUAAAUUGGUGUGAAUCUAUGCAAUAAAGUUAAAGAAGAAGUAGAUCAAGUCAAAAAAAAAAAAAAGAUAAAGAGAAAGUGUUUCGAUUUGAUCUAAAUGUGAAAUAUAAAGUCUAUGCCAGAUGAUGCUAUGAAGUUGCAGCCAUACCAUUCUAAAUCAAUGAUACCUUGCAGAUCAGUGAAGAAUGCAACCUUGGUAUGUUCUUAAGUUAGUUGUGUUCCUUCCAAUUCUUCCACUUCCCUUAACCUUAGCCUUUCAUUACAACCUUGUGAAAGACCUAGCUGAUCUUUGAGGAUGUAUUCAUGGGUGCUGGUAUGUAUGUGUGUAUCUCUACUCUUAGUAUUUGAUUCCCUUCAUGAGAUCUAACCAAAUAUUGUGCUUCUAUUUCAUAUACUCACUUAUGCUUGUUUGAGAGAAUAAAACCAUAGGUUCUGAGUGAUUGAGUGCUAGAUGUGAGAAUUAGAGUUGAAGCAUGUUCUUCCUUUAAGAUUUGAGUAUGUUUACUUUGAAGCCGUGUGCCUUUGAGCUAUAGCUUCCACUUUACACGCUUAUUGAUCAUCUAUCUUGGUAACUCUAUGGUGUUGGAUGCAUGAUUAAAGUUUUCUUUCAUUAGUUGUUUUCAAAGUUAGUUUUCUAACCUUUUGGUGUUAGAGAGUCAGUAAAGCGUUUGUGGGUAUCGUUUCUGUUAAACCCUCAGGAGACACAACUCUUCCGAUUAGGGAUGCCGAGAGGUUUAAAGGCUUGUUGCAUAUGCACAUUGCAAUCGAGUUACCUACAGAAGUGGUUUAGUUAACUUCUUGUUUUGUUUUCAACUUUAUUCUCUUUUGUUUUGCUCGAGGACUAGCAAAAUCUAGGUCUGGGGGUAUUUGAUCAGUUCACAAUUGUAUAUCAUUUUGUACCCUUCUAGCUUAUGAUUUGGUUAUGUUAUUGAGUCAAACGUGUGCUUUUAAUCCCUUUUCUGUUUAUCAUUCAGUUCAUUGGGCCUUAGGUAGCAAUGGUGUCUUUGGAUAAGAAAAGAUGCAAAAUGGUGCAAAAACGAGCAGACUGGGUUAGCAACUCAUUUCGGCCUUAACAUCUUUCUCCGAACUUCGAUUGGCCCAAAUAAUAUGUAGUUGGAAAGAUGAGAGUCUGAACUUCAAGAUGGACUACUCAAAUGCAUCAGAUUAUGAAGUUGAGCCCAAUUCGUGAGCCCAUAUACACACCAGGCUCAGGAUUGCAGUUUCCAGUUGUUAAGCCUUGGAUACUUUCUUUGAGCCAUGUGACUCACCACAGCUUUCCUUGACUUUAGACCUGACAUGUUGAGCAAUUAAGGGAGGUCUGUCAGCUACUCAAGUGUAGAGGAGAGCCAUGUGACUCACCACAGCUUUCCUUGACUUUAGACCUGACAUGUUGAGCAAUUAAGGGAGGAGUGUCAGCUACUCAAGUGCAAAGGAGCCUUGACUUUAGACCAGACAUGUUGAGCAAUUUAGGGAGAAAUUUAGGGAGGUGUGUCAGCUACUCAAAGGCAAAGGAUUCACUCAAUUGACCAAUAAUUCACUCCAGCCAUCUUAUAUCACUCCAUUCAGCCCAAAAUCGGAGGGGGGGGAACAACUCCAACAAGCCUUCCUUCCAUUUCCUACGAAUUUGUUCUUUCUCUGCCAUCACCAACCACCCAAACUCAUCCCAAAUCACCUCUUUAGUUGCCAUACUCUAGACAUGAGAAAGUUCUUGGAGUAGCAUUAGACGUGGAGAAGCACCUGGAGAAGCCUUGGAAACCACAAGCAACUUCAGAAUUGGGUUUCUCUACUCUUAUUGCAUUCAAUAUGUUUUCUCAUUUUUGCUUAAGUUUCAUUUCCAUUAUGAGUAGCUAAAUUCAUAACUAGGGCUAUGAUGUAACCUAACAUGAAUAUUCUGGGUUUAUAAGUUGAAGUUUUGAGUUUCAAGUUUGAUUCAUGAUUCAUAUUCCUAUUCUUUAUGCUUAUCAGUUAAUAUGCUUGUUUGGGAAACAUCAUACUAUUUUGGGAGGAGUCAUUUGGAGGGUUUUGAGUGACAUCCAAUCUAUAGAACUAUAUAAUACACCAACCACUCCAUUUUAGAACGAACUUCGUACGAACUUGAAUUGUGGAAUUUCAUGGACCAAUCGAUAUCGGAUUCAUACCAGAACUUGGGGAAUAUCAUAAUAUGGUGGGAGGAGUCGUUCGGUGGGUUUUGAAUGAAAUCCAAUCUCUAGAAACCAUGCAAAACACCAACCUCGCUAUUUCAGAUCGAACUUCAUACGAACAUGAAUUGUCCAAUUUCAUGGACCAAUCGAUAUCGAAUUGAGUCCAAAACUUGGGGAACAUUAUAAUAUUUGGGGGGAGGGGUCAUUUGAUGGAUUUUGAGAGAAAUCCAAUCUCUAGAACUACACAAUACACCAACCACUCCAUUUCAGAACGAACUUCGUACGAACCUUAAUUGUCCAAUUUCAUAUCGAUUGGUCCAAGACUUGGGGAACAUCACAAUGUUGUGGCAACCGUCAUUUGGUGAGUUUUGAGUGAAAUCCAAUUGCCAAAACUAUGCAAUACGCCAACCACUCCAUUAGAGAACGAACUUCGUACAAACAUGAAUAGUUCAAUUUCUUGGACCAAUCGAUACCGGAUUACGCCCAAAACUUGGGGAACAUCAUAAUAUGGUGGGAGGAGUCAUAUGGUGAGUUUUCAGGGAAAUCCAAAGGCUAAACUUAUGCAAUACACCAACCACUCCAUUUCAUAACGAACUUCGUACGAAUCUGAAUUGUCCAGAGUCAUGGACCAAUCGAUAUCGGAUUGAGUCCAAAACUUGGGGAACAUCACAAUGUUGUGGGAGGAGUCAUUUGGUGAGUUUUGAGUGAAAUCCAAUGGCCAAAACUAUGCAAUAUGCAAACUACUCCAUUAGAGAACGAACUUCGUACGAACAUCAAUAGUACAAUUUCAUGGACCAAUCUAUAUCGUAUUGAGCCCAAAACUUGGGGAACUUCAUAACAUUGUGGGAGGAAUGAUUUGGUGAGUUUUGAGCAAAAUCCAAUGGCAAAAACUAUGCAAUACACCAACGACUCCAUUUUAGAACGAACUUCGUACGAACCUGAAUUGUCUAAUUUCAUGGACAAAUUGAUAUCGGAUGGAGUCCAAAACUUGGGGAACAUUGUAAUAUGGUGGGAGAAGUCAUUUGGUGGGUUUUGAGUGAAAUCCAAUCUCUAGAACUAUGCGAUACACCAACCACCCCAUUUCAAAACGAACUUAGUACGAACCUGAAUUGUCCAAUUUCAUGGACCAAUUGAUAUCGAAUUGAGUCCGAAGCUUGGGGAGCAUCGUAAUGUUGUACGAGGAGUCAUAUGUUGAGUUUUGUGUGAAAUCCAAUGGCAAAAACAAUGCAAUACAACAGCCACUCUAUUUCAGAAUGAACUUCGUACGAACUUGAAUUGUCCGAUUCACGGACCAAUCGAUAUCUUAUUGAGUCCAAAACUUGGGGAACAUCAUACUAUAGGGGGAGGAGUCAUUUUGGGAGUUUUGAGUGGAAUCCAAUGUUUAGAACUAUGCAAUACUCCAACCACUCCAUUUCUGAAUGAACUUCGUACGAACUUGAAUUGUCCGAUUUCAUGGACUAAUCGAUAUCGGAUUGAGUCCAAAACUUGGAGCACAUCAUAAUAUUGUGGGAGGAGUCAUUUGGUGGGUUUUAAGUGAAAUCCAAUCUUUAGAACUAUGCAAUACACCAACCACUCCAUUUUAGAACGAACUUCGUACGAACCUGUAUUGUCCAAUUUGAUGGACCAAUCGAUAUCGAAUUGAGUCCAAAACUUGGGAUCCAUCAGAAUGUUGUGGAGUCAUAUUGUGUGUUUUGAGCGAAAUCCAGUUGCUAAAACUAUGCAAUACACCAACCACUCCAUUUCAAAACGAACUUCGUACGAACCACAAUAGACAUCAGAUUGAGUCCAAAACCUGGGGAACAUCAUAAUACUGUGGCAAUCAUUAGGUGGGUUUUGAGUGAAAUCCAAUUUCUGGAACUAUGCAAUACACCAACCACUCCAUUUUCGAACGAACUUCGUGCGAACCUUAACUGUCUAAUUUCAUGGACCAAUCGACAUUGGAUUGAGUCCAAAAAUUGGGGAACAUCAUAAUAUUGCAGGAGGUGUGAUUUGGUUAGUUUUGAGUGAAAUCCGAUUGACAAAACUAUGCAAUAUACCAACCACUCCCUUUCAUAACGAACUUCGUACGAACCUGAAUUGUCCUAUUCCACGAACCAAUCGAUAUUGGAUUGAGCCAAAAACUUGGGGAACAUGAUAAUAUAGUGGGAGCAGUCAUUUUGUAAGUUUUCAAUGGAAUCCAAUCUUUAGAACUAUGCACCACACCAACCACUCCUUUUCUAAACGAACUUGUACGAACUGGAAUUGUCCGAUUUCAUGGACAAAUCGAUAUCGGAAUGGGUCCAAAACUUGGAGAACAUCACAAUAUGGUGGAAGAAGUCUUUAGGUGGGUUUUGAGUGAAAUCCAAUCUCUACAACUAUGCAAUACACCAACCACUCCAGUUCUGAAUGAACUUCAUACGAAUCAGAAUUGUCAAAUUUCAUAGACCAAUCGAUGUCAGAUUGAGUCCAAAACUUGGGGAACAUCAUAAUGUCGUGGGUGGAGUCAUUUUGUAAGUUUUGAGUGAAUUCUAAUGGCUAAAACAAUGCAAUACAAAAACCACUGUAUUUCAUAACGAACUUCAUACGAACCUGAAUUGUCCGAUUUCAUGGACCAAUCGAUAUCGGACUCAGUCGAUAACUUGCGGAACAUCAUAAUACGGUGGGAGGAGUCGUUUGCUGAGGUUUGAGUGAAAUCCAAUGGCUAAAACUAUGCAAUACACCAAC